AAAAAGUUGCAGGCUCUAUGUUCUCUGUUCAAUUCUUUUUUGUUUGGUUUUAUAAUUCUUGCAGGAUUCUGCGAAAAUGACGCAACCAUUUUCCAGGGUGCGUUGAUGGAAGUCAGCAUCCAGAUCGCUGGCAUGCUGCAGGAGGCCAUGUUAUUCCCUCAGUGUGAAUUCAGCUCAUCUUUCAGCAGAGAGAGAGAGAGAGAGAUGGGAGUGACGCUCCUGUAGAGACUCACAGAACCAGAUCGACAACUUUCUGUUGGAGUUGAUAACUGCAUCAGUAAAGAAUCACGUGAAUCUGCAGCUCCCCUCAGCUUUACAGAGCUUUUGGCCUACAGUCAUUCCUUCCUGCCCACACCUCCUCAUACCAUCACCGUGACAGAGAAUGAAGAGGGUGAGGAAACACAAAACAUUUGUAUUUUGCCCCAACUGCAUGCAACUUGAAACAUGAAGCAUUUUACUGCAGAUCAUUACAGCCCGCCAUUUGCCGCUGUGUUUUAAACGCGUAGACGUUUCCACCACACUGUGCAUCCAUUCAUUAAAGAAGGAAGAAAUGAAAGUAUCAGCAAGCUCUUGAAAGAAGUUACAGCAUCAUUAUGAGGUACUGCAGUUUUCUACAAAGCUCACACCAACAGUCUGCUAAUUUCAUUCACCAUACAAGAAUGAGUUUGAUGGAGAUAAAACUUCAAACCUUAAUAAGUAGGUUAUUAAAAAAAACAAACAAACAAAAAAAAACUUCACGACUGACUUUCUUUUCAAACAAAAGCUGGCAGAUUAAGAAAUUUACCAAAAAUGUUUUUCUCCUCUGACACACUGGAAGAUUUCUGACUUUCUGAGAUGUAGUGAAACUAAAACUACAAAACUCUGCCACAGAUCAGCUCAACAUCAGUAGUUAUAUUAAAAUAAAAUGGCAAUCUGUGUGUGUUUAAGAUUUUGAAAUGAUGAAAUGUUCCUAGGAGGAUAAUGGUGUGACGGUUUCCCAAAACAAAAAAAAAGAAGGAAAAACAAACAAAACAAAAAGAGCUACAUAUUUUAAAAUGUAGCUUCACAAUAUAACAGACAUGCACAUACUGCUGCAGAGACCGUUGAGGCUGAUGGUGGAGGCUGGACUUUACUGAUAAAUGACUGGGCGUUGUACUGUGUGUGUGUGUGUGUGUGUGUGUGAGAGAGAGAGAGAUGUGGAUGGGGAUGGAUGGAUUAAAGCAGUCUUCCCACUUCCUGUGUAACCCCCCACCACACACACACACACACAUAUACACACACUCUGGACCAGUUUGGGCUUUGCGCUCCCAUCAUGGUUGACUGGGGACUGGGUUAAACGCUAACUUCCUCUGCCUGAGGUUACAUGGUGUGUUUGUGUGUGUGUGUGUUCAGUAGGUACACACUGAUCUGCAGCCAGCCUGUACACAGUAAGAUUAUGCUUCACUUUUUUAUUUUUUAAUUUAUAUUUUGUUGCACUUUAUUGACUCAUGGUCCAAUCUGUACUGUUUACAGAAGGUCAGAGGUCCACGGUCAGUUUGAAAAUAACUUUCUCUCAGUUGUUGUUUACUUAAUGUGCACAAUUUAAGAAAAAAAGCUUCCUCCUCCUUCAAAACUUCAGCCAGAAUCAGACACAGAAGGCUGAAUAAAAGCCAAUGCAUGUGUGUGCGUGUGUGCGUGUGUACCUGUGCAU